rfam:TPA: Bos taurus chromosome 23, whole genome shotgun sequence.
UCUCUGAUGGUCCAGUGGUUAAGACUCCAUGCUUCCAGUGAAGGGGACCUGGGUUUGAUCCCUAGUCAGAGAA